rnacentral:tRNA from 4 species
GGGCGGUUAGCUCAGUUGGUUAGAGCACCUGCCUUACAAGCAGGGGGUCGGAGGUUCGAGUCCUCCACCGCCCACCA